rnacentral:rRNA from 1 species
UACGUAGGGUGCAGGCGUUAAUCGGAAUUACUGGGCGUAAAGCGUGCGCAGGCGGUUUCUUAAGUCAGUUGUGAAAUCCCCGGGCUCAACCUGGGAACUGCAUCUGUGACUGCAUUGCUGGAGUGCGGCAGAGGGGGAUGGAAUUCCGCGUGUAGCAGUGAAAUGCGUAGAUAUGCGGAGGAACACCGAUGGCGAAGGCAAUCCCCUGGGCCUGCACUGACGCUCAUGCACGAAAGCGUGGGGAGCAAACAGG